UGUCUAUGGCCGUACCACCCUGGACACGCCUGAUCACAUCUGAUCUUGGAAGCUAAGCAGGGUUGGGCCUGGUUAGUAC
rnacentral:miRNA from 1 species